AACCCAUGAAGUGGACACUUUCUCAAUAAAUCCUUAAACCGUUCCCAUGCCUCAUACAAGCUUUCCAUCUCAUUUUUCAUGAAAGUUGUAAUAUCAUUCCUCAUCCU